GACAGUAUGGCCGAGCGGUCUAAGGCGCCAGUUUCAGGUACUGGUCACUUGUGGCGUGGGUUCGAAUCCCACUACUGUCA
rnacentral:tRNA from 1 species